AACGAACGCUGGCGGCAGGCUUAACACAUGCAAGUCGAGCGAGACCUUCGGGUCUAGCGGCGGACGGGUGAGUAACGCGUGGGAACGUGCCCUUCUCUACGGAAUAGCCCCGGGAAACUGGGAGUAAUACCGUAUACGCUCUUUGGGGGAAAGAUUUAUCGGAGAAGGAUCGGCCCGCGUUGGCUUAGGUAGUUGGUGGGGUAAUGGCCCACCAAGCCGACGAUCCAUAGCUGGUUUGAGAGGAUGAUCAGCCACACUGGGACGGAGACACGGCCCAGACUCCUACGGGAGGCAGCAGUGGGGAAUCUUAGACAAUGGGGGCAACCCUGAUCGAGCCAUGCCGCGUGAGUGAUGAAGGCCUUAGGGUUGUAAAGCUCUUUCAGCUGGGAAGAUAAUGACGGUACCAGCAGAAGAAGCCCCGGCUAACUCCGUG
rnacentral:rRNA from 1 species